GAUGAACGCUGGCGGCGUGCCUAAUACAUGCAAGUCGAGCGAACGGACGAGAAGCUUGCUUCUCUGAUGUUUGCGGCGGAGGGGUGAGUAACACGUGGAUAACCUACCUAUAAGACUGGGAUAACUUCGGGAAACCGUAGCUAAUACCUGAUAAUAUUUUGAACCGCAUGGUUCAAAAGUGAAAGACGGUCUUGCUGUCACUUAUAGAUGGAUCCGCUCUGCAUUAGCUAGUUGGUAAGGUAACGGCUUACCAAGGCAACGAUGCAUAGCCGACCUGAGAGGGUGAUCGGCCACACUGGAACUGAGACACGGUCCAGACUCCUACGGGAGGCAGCAGUAGGGAAUCUUCCGCAAUGGGCGAAAGCCUGACGGAGCAACGCCGCGUGAGUGAUGAAGGUCUUCGGAUUGUAAAACUCUGUUAUUAGGGAAGAACAUAUGUGUAAGAAACUGUGCACAUCUUGACGGUACCUAAUCAGAAAGCCACGGCUAACUACGUG
rnacentral:rRNA from 1 species